CGAAGACGUUGAUAGGCUGGGUGUGUAAGCGUAGCGAUACGUUGAGCUAACCAGUACUAAUGAACCGUGAGGCUUAACCUG
rnacentral:rRNA from 1 species